rnacentral:misc_RNA from 1 species
GAUGAAGAACGCAGCGAAAUGCGAUAAGUAAUGUGAAUUGCAGAAUUCAGUGAAUCAUCGAAUCUUUGAACGCACAUUGCGCCCAUUAGUAUUCUAGUGGGCAUGCCUGUUCGAGCGUCAUUUCAACCCUUAAGCCCCUGUUGCUUAGCGUUGGGAGCCUACAGCCUGCUGUAGUUCCUCAAAGUUAGUGGCGGAGUCAGUUCACACUCUAGACGUAGUAAAAUCUUUAUCUCGCCUAUAGAUGAGCUGGCGCCUUGCCGUAAAAAACCCCUAAUCUUUUACAAGGUUGACCUCGGAUCAGGUAGGAAUACCCGCUGAACUUAAGCAUAUCAAUAAGCGGAGGA